AUUGAACGCUGGCGGCAGGCCUAACACAUGCAAGUCGAGCGGAGCGGCGGACGGGUGAGUAAUGCCUAGGAAUCUGCCUGGUAGUGGGGGAUAACGUCCGGCAACGGGCGCUAAUACCGCAUACUAUCAGAUGAGCCUAGGUCGGAUUAGCUAGUUGGUGGGGUAAAGGCCUACCAAGGCGACGAUCCGUAACUGGUCGGAGAGGAUGAUCAGUCACACUGGAACAGAGACACGGUCCAGACUCCGACGGGAGGCAGCAGGGGGGAAUAGUGGACAAUGGUCGAAAGCCUGAUCCAGCCAUGCCGCGUGUGUGAAGAAGGUCUUCGGAUUGUAAAGCACUCGAAGUUGGGAGGCGUUACCAACAGAAUAGGCACCGGCUAAAAUCGUGCCAGCAGCCGCGGUAAUUC
rnacentral:rRNA from 1 species